ensembl:lncRNA
UGCUCGGGACAUGAACCAACAGGUCAAGGUUCACACGUCCAAACCAAAGAAUGGUCACCCCCCAGUGUGAACAGGAAGAUGUGCUUCCAUUCCUGGGGCCGUCACAGAGGCACUUGUCAUCAACUGUAAUGGUAUUAAACAAACAAACAAAAGUAUUCAAAUAAAAACACUGGGUAGCUCCCUCCUUCCUUGUUCUCAUAGGCAAGUUUCCCUUUCCUCUCUGUAGCUUUGCAUACUCCCUCCUCCGCCAAUAGGACAGCAGUACUUGUGCACUUCCUGUGUCCUUGUGUGCUAUUGCUUUGAGCGGGUCAGGGUCACGGUUAGGGUCAGGGUCAGGGUUAGGCUCAGGGUCACGGUUAGGGUCAGGGUCACGGUUAGGGUCAGGGUCACGGUUAGGGUCAGGGUCAGGGUCAUGGUUAGGGUCAGGGUCAUGGUUAGGGUUAGGGUCAGGGUCACGGUUAGGGUCAGGGUCAGGGUCAGGGUCAGGGUCAUGGUUAGGGUCAGGGUCAUGGUUAGGGUCAGGGUCAGGGUCACGGUUAGGGUUAGGGUCAGGGUCCGAGCGAGUCUCAGAAGCUGGACUCAGGGACGGUCCUCUUCCUCCCCAGGCUGGUGCUGCUGUAACGGCUCCUCUGCAGGGUCCCGCACGAGGCCUUGUCCGCGGUGAGGCUCCGUGCCGGUGCUGCCGAGAGGCCGUUGCGGUGCAGGGAGGCGGUCCGCCGCAGCGACGGGUCGGCCUUGCUCUGGAUGUUGGAGGAGCUCUGCGAGCGCUUGAUGUCCGGCAUGCUGCUACGCACCACCUUCCCGUUGGCCAGCUCGUCACCGUGGCGACCCCGUGCGGAGCCGCCGCUCUUGCCCUCCGCGGUGCCGUUGGGGCCCCCGUUGGGGCCCCCAUUGGACAGGGACAGCUUGGACAGGCUCCUGCUCCCUGCAUCACUGCCCCUCCCCCAGUCACUGUCCCGGGACCGGCGCAUGGAGUCCUUCUUGAGGAAACCCCCCUUGAGGAAGGACAGCAGCCCGUCGUGUGCCUUCGACUCCUCUCCCCUUCUGCCCUUGUCUCCGUCUGGGAGCUCCUCGGCCGCGUCCCCCUUGCCUCUCUGCUGCCUCGAGUCCAGGCCUGAAUGUGCACUCGGGCUGGGCUGGAGCCCAGAGCUGGACCCCCUCAUGGACUGCGAAUGCUGGAUCUUGGCCCCCUGGUCCUGCUUGGGCUUCCUGGUGCUCCUCCUGCCGAGGGUGUCGUCGUCUCGCUGCUGCCUGGUGGCGGUGGUGCUGCUGCUGCUGCGCCUCGGACUGCUGCCCGUCGUCCUGUCGGCGCUCUGCCCCCGCGGGCCCUCGGGGGUCUUGCGGAGGUCGGCCUGCUCCUCAGAGGACCUGCCGAUGCAGCUGAGGCUGGAGGAGCUGGAGGGGGUGGUGGGCUGCUGGCCCUUGGGGCCCUCCCUGGUGGAGGGGCUGCUCAUCAGAGUGAUGAUGGAGUCCUUGGUGCAGCG